GACGAACGCUGGCGGCGUGCCUAAUACAUGCCAGUAGAACGCUGAAGAGAGGAGCUUGCUCUUCUUGGAUGAGUUGCGAACGGGUGAGUAACGCGUAGGUAACCUGCCUUGUAGCGGGGGAUAACUAUUGGAAACGAUAGCUAAUACCGCAUAACAAUGGAUGACACAUGUCAUUUAUUUGAAAGGGGCAAUUGCUCCACUACAAGAUGGACCUGCGUUGUAUUAGCUAGUAGGUGAGGUAAUGGCUCACCUAGGCGACGAUACAUAGCCGACCUGAGAGGGUGAUCGGCCACACUGGGACUGAGACACGGCCCAGACUCCUACGGGAGGCAGCAGUAGGGAAUCUUCGGCAAUGGGGGCAACCCUGACCGAGCAACGCCGCGUGAGUGAAGAAGGGUUUCGGAUCGUAAAGCUCUGUUGUAAGUCAAGAACGGGUGUGAGAGUGGAAAGUUCACACUGUGACGGUAGCUUACCAGAAAGGGACGGCUAACUACGUG
rnacentral:rRNA from 1 species